AAACGUGCCCCAAGGGGAAGAUACUAUGAUCACCAAGGUGGUUUUUUCUGGGGUGAGGCUCCUCCACUGUACUCCAUAUAUACUGACCCCUACGAUUUUCCUAAAUUCAGAAAACUGCAUAAUUUGUGGUAGUGGGGGGCUGUGUUCCCACUUCACCCUU